GUGGGGAAUCUUCCGCAAUGGACGAAAGUCUGACGGAGCAACGCCGCGUGAGUGAUGAAGGUCUUCGGAUUGUAAAGCUCUGUUAAUCGGGACGAAAGAGCCUAGUGUGAAUAAUGCUAGGAAGUGACGGUACCGGAAUAGAAAGCCACGGCUAACUACGUGCCAGCAGCCGCGGUAAUACGUAGGUGGCAAGCGUUGUCCGGAAUUAUUGGGCGUAAAGCGCGCGCAGGCGGAUCUGCCAGUCUGUCUUAAAAGUUCGGGGCUUAACCCCGUGAUGGGAUGGAAACUACAGAUCUAGAGUAUCGGAGAGGAAAGUGGAAUUCCUAGUGUAGCGGUGAAAUGCGUAGAUAUUAGGAAGAACACCAGUGGCGAAGGCGACUUUCUGGACGAAAACUGACGCUGAGGCGCGAAAGCCAGGGGAGCGAACGGGAUUAGAAACCCCAGUAGUCC
rnacentral:rRNA from 1 species